CCUACGGGUGGCAGCAGUGAGGAAUAUUGGUCAAUGGGCGGGAGCCUGAACCAGCCAAGUCGCGUGAGGGAAGACGGUCCUAUGGAUUGUAAACCUCUUUAGGCGGGGAGCAAUGCCGGGCACGCGUGCCCGGAGGGAGAGUACCCGCAGAAUAAGCAUCGGCUACCUCCGUGCCAGCAGCCGCGGUAAUACGGGGGAUGCGAGCGUUAUCGGGUUUUUUGGGGUUAAAGGGUGCGUAGGGGGAUUUUUAAGUCAGCGGUAAAAUGUCCGGGCUCAACCCGGGGCGGCCGGUGAAACUGGGGAUUUUGAGUGGGCGAGGAGUAUGGGGAAUGCGUGGUGGAGCGGUGGAAUGCAUAG
rnacentral:rRNA from 1 species